rnacentral:rRNA from 1 species
GACGAACGCUGGCGGCGUGCCUAAUACAUGCAAGUUGAGCGCUGAAGGUUGGUACUUGUACCGACUGGAUGAGCAGCGAACGGGUGAGUAACGCGUGGGGAAUCUGCCUUUGAGCGGGGGACAACAUUUGGAAACGAAUGCUAAUACCGCAUAAAAACUUUAAACACAAGUUUUAAGUUUGAAAGAUGCAAUUGCAUCACUCAAAGAUGAUCCCGCGUUGUAUUAGCUAGUUGGUGAGGUAAAGGCUCACCAAGGCGAUGAUACAUAGCCGACCUGAGAGGGGGAUCGGCCACAUUGGGACGGAGACACGGCCCAAACUCCUACGGGAGGCAGCAGUAGGGAAUCUUCGGCAAUGGACGAAAGUCUGACCGAGCAACGCCGCGUGAGGGAAGAAGGGUUUCGGAUCGUAAAACUCGGUUGGUAGAGAAGAACGUUGGUGAGAGUGGAAAGCUCAUCAAGUGACGGUAACUACCCAGAAAGGGACGGCUAACUACGUG